UGGCACAUUUACUCUCAGAUACACUGAUAAUGAUGUGAAGUGAACAGAUGAAAGGCAGCAUGACUGAAAUGUCACACUUUCAAACUUAAGGCAAAGAAAUCUGCCUUUUACCUCUAAGAUUUCUGUAACUACACUUUAUCUCUGUGAAAAGAUAUUUAUCUCUCAUGAAAAAGACUUUAUAGUUUCAUCAAUUCGGUUUUAUGAAAAGUGUUGUCACUGGUUGUAAAUGAAUAAUAAGAAGACAUAAUGCUUGUUCAUUUUAUAAUGUUCUCUCAGGGCUGUUCUUAUUUUUGUCCCUUUGGCUUCAUUAUGGAAUCGGAUGCUUUUAUUUUGAAGGCAAAACGCGGCAGGAAGUGACAAAAGUUCAAAGGUCAAGGGGUACAAGCGUGUAUCCAAGUAAAGGUUUUUUUUUUAUGGAGCACCUGGCCGAUGAGAGCACCAGAUAAGACAAAUCAUGAGGGAGAUUUUGAAAAGGUUCACCAAUGCAAGAGGACAGUUCAUAAGGGAUUUUGACACCUACCAAAUAUCCACCUUCUCCGAGACGGGUUCGUUGCGAAUGACCUCCGGAGCCAUCCAGGCCACCGUCCCAGCAAAGGACAUCUUGGUGCUCUUGUCGCUGAGCUCUUUGGACGUGCCGAAAUCAGAGAUCUUCACCGAGUCGUCGUCUACAGAACUCACUUUGGUGACUUGAGGUCUCUGUGGAUGAUCUUGUGGAGGUGAAGGUAGUUCAUGCCCCCAGCGAUGCCCAU